GGGACAAGCCGCUGAAAGGCGGGCUAAACCGGCGUACAUGCCACCGGGGCUUCCCGGAGGCAGGAAAGGCUUCGGCCGGACAGGGAUGGGCAUGCGGCGCGUUAGGCAGUAGGCGGGGUAACGGCCCACCUAACCGACGAUGCGUAGGGGUUCUGAGAGGAAGGUCCCCCACACUGGUACUGAGACACGGACCAGACUCCUACGGGAGGCAGCAGUGAGGAAUAUUGGUCAAUGGUCGGGAGACUGAACCGGCCAAGCCGCGUGAGGGAGGAAGGUACAGAGUAUCGUAAACCUCUUUUGUCAGGGAACAAAGACUGGGACGCGUCCCCGGAUGAGUGUACCUGAAGAAAAAGCAUCGGCUAACUCCGUGCCAGCAGCCGCGGUAAUACGGAGGAUGCGAGCGUUAUCCGGAUUUAUUGGGUUUAAAGGGUGCGCAGGCGGUCUGUUAAGUCAGCGGUCAAAGCCCGGGGCUCAACCCCGGCCCGCCGUUGAAACUGGCAGUCUCGAGUUGGAGAGAAGUAUGCGGAAUGCGCGGUGUAGCGGUGAAAUGCAUAGAUAUCGCGCAGAACUCCGAUUGCGAAGGCAGCAUGCCGGCUCCACACUGACGCUGAGGCACGAAAGCGUGGGUAUCGAACAGGAUUAGAUACCCUGGUAGUCCACGCAGUAAACGAU
rnacentral:rRNA from 1 species